CCUACGGGAGGCAGCAGUGGGGAAUCUUGCGCAAUGGGCGAAAGCCUGACGCAGCAACGCCGCGUGCGGGAUGAAGGCCUUCGUGGUUGUAAACCGCUUUCAGCAGGGACGAAAAUGACGGUACCUGCAGAAGAAGCCCCGGCUAACUACGUGCCAGCAGCCGCGGUAAUACGUAGGGGGCAAGCGUUGUCCGGAAUCAUUGGGCGUAAAGAGCUCGUAGGCGGUUCAGUAAGUCAGGUGUGAAAGCUCCGAGCUCAACUCGGAGAGGCCACCUGAUACUGCUGUGACUAGAAUCCAGUAGGGGAGUGUGGAACUCCUGGUGUAGCGGUGAAAUGCGCAGAUAUCAGGAAGAACACCAGCGGCGAAGGCGGCACUCUGGGCUGGAAUUGACGCUGAGGAGCGAAAGUGUGGGUAGCAAACAGGAUUUAGAUACCCCUGGUAGUCCGACACCGUAACCGUACGGUACGACUAGUAGUGGGUAGGGAGUCACCUUACCGUUCGUCGUCGUCGUACGAC
rnacentral:rRNA from 1 species